GCAAGUCGAACGAGAAUCAUUCCUUCGGGGAUGAGGAAAGUGGCGCACGGGUGUGUAACACGCGGAUAAUCAACCCCCUAGAUUGGGACAAACCGGGGAAACUCGGGCUAAUACCAGAUGUCGCGGCCACCUCUUCGGGGGAGGUCGUAAAAGGAGCAAUCCGCUAGAGGACGAGUCCGCGGCCCAUCAGCUAGUUGGCGAGGUAAUGGCUCACCAAGGCGAAGACGGGUAGCUGGUCUGAGAGGAUGAUC
rnacentral:rRNA from 1 species